UUUGAGAGUGACGUUGUUAGGACUGUAUGCAUCUCCUUGACCCUUCUAGAACCCCUCUCUCCGCACACUUCCGCAUUUCUCUACCCAAACGACACCAUUUUGCCUCUUGCUCGCUGGUUGCACUGCUAGAGCCACCUCCUUUCUUCUUUAUCAGUCAUGUUCCUACGAGGCCGCUACACUCCUUCAUUUUUGUCUUUCACUUCCUCAAUCUUCUCCUGUCUUUUUUCUUUUUUUCCUCUUAUCUUUCUCUUUCUUCCUUUAUUUCACUUUUUAGUUGGACAUUUUCUCGAACAGUUUUUAUUCAAGCUUUAGAUUUUGAUUUUUUUUUAUUUUUUUUAGUGGAGAUAGGUAAACACAAGAUGUACAGGUUCUUAAGGAUUGUUCGAUUUGCGUUCCUUGCAGGUAGUUUUGGACACUUAUUGGACCCAAUGGAUGUGGAAAAUCUACCCUCUUGAAGUGGAGAUAGGCAAACACAGGAUGUACCGAUUCUUUAAGGAUUGUUCGAUUUGCAUUCCCUACAGGUAGUUUUGGACGCUUAUUGGACUCAAUGGGUGUGGAAAAUCUACCCUCUUAAAGAAGAAGAUAAGAAUGCUUUUGGAAUGACUCAGUCAAAAGAGCUGGCAACAUUGCUUGAAGCAGAGAAGAUUUCAUGUGGUAAAUCUGAAGUGGAUUUCAUUGUCUCUUUUUUUUUAUGGUAAACCCGAUUUGAUAUGGUAAGUUCAUUCCUUUUUGUCAUCUUUACGGUUUUAUUUGUGAAUGUUUCCUUGCACUUUUCCAUUUUAGAAGAAGAGUUUGUUCUAUUUUUAGAUUUUGAUUGUUUUGAUUUUUUUUAGUGGAGAUAAGCAAACACAGGAUGUACUGGUUCUUAAGGAUUGUUCGAUUUGCAUUCCUUGCAGGUAGUUUUGGACACUUAUUGUAGCCAAUGGGUAUGGAAAAUCUACCAUCUUGAAGAAGAUAAGAAAGCUUUUGGAACAACGCAACAUUGCUUGAAGCAAAGAAGAUUUCGUGUGGUAAAUCUGAAG